rnacentral:rRNA from 1 species
GACGGAGGGGGCUAGCGUUGUUCGGAAUUACUGGGCGUAAAGGGCGCGUAGGCGGCUCUUCAAGUUAGGCGUGAAAGCCCUGGGCUUAACCUGGGAAUUGCGUUCGAUACUGGAUAGCUAGAGUUCGGCAGAGGGAAGCGGAAUUUCGGGUGUAGCGGUGAAAUGCGUAGAUAUCCGAAGGAACAUCAGUGGCGAAAGCGGCUUCCUGGACCAGAACUGACGAUCAGGCACGAAAGCGUGGGGAGCAAACAGG